rnacentral:rRNA from 1 species
UACGGAGGGGGCUAGCGUUGUUCGGAAUUACUGGGCGUAAAGCGCGCGUAGGCGGCUUUGCAAGUUAGAGGUGAAAGCCCGGAGCUUAACUCCGGAACUGCCUUUAAAACUGCAUCGCUUGAAUCAUGGAGAGGUUAGUGGAAUUCCGAGUGUAGAGGUGAAAUUCGUAGAUAUUCGGAAGAACACCAGUGGCGAAGGCGACUAACUGGACAUGUAUUGACGCUGAGGUGCGAAAGCGUGGGGAGCAAAC